CAGUCGCCGCGGGAAUACGUAGGUGGCAAGCGUUGUCCGGAAUUAUUGGGCGUAAAGCGCGCGCAGGUGGUUUAAUAAGUCUGAUGUGAAAGCCCACGGCUCAACCGUGGAGGGUCUUUGGAAACUGUUAAGCUUGAGUGCAGGGGAGAAAAGUGGAAUUCCACGUGUAGCGGUGAAAUGCGUAGAGAUGUGGAGGAACACCAGUGGCGAAGGCGACUCUCUGGUCUGUAACUGACGCUGAGGAGCGAAAGCGUGGGGAGCGAACAGGAUUAGAUACCCCUGUAGUCCCUGUCUCUUAUAC
rnacentral:rRNA from 1 species